UACGGGGGGGGCAAGCGUUGUUCGGAAUUACUGGGCGUAAAGGGCUUGUAGGUGGCCAACUAAGUCAGACGUGAAAUCCCUCGGCUUAACCGGGGAACUGCGUCUGAUACUGGAUGGCUGGAGUGUGGGAGAGGGAUGCGGAAUUCCAGGUGUAGCGGUGAAAUGCGUAGAUAUCUGGAGGAACAUCCGUGGCGAAGGCGGCCACCUGGACCAGCACUGACACUGAGGCACGAAAGCGUGGGGAGCAAACAGG
rnacentral:rRNA from 1 species